AUGGACUUCGGGCAGCUCUGUGGUGUGGUCCUCUGUCUCCUGGGCAUAGCCAUCUCUGCAGACCCUGGGAUCACUCAGAUACCAAAAUACCUAGUCAUGGGAAUGAUGGACAAGAAAUCUUUGAAAUGUGAACAACAUCUAGGACAUGAUGCUAUGUACUGGUAUAAACAGAGUGCCCAGAAGCCGCCAGAGCUCAUGUUCAUCUACGACUACAAGGAACUCGCUGAAAAUGCGAGUGUUCCAAGUCGCUUCCAGCCUAGAUGCCCAGAGAGCUCCCAGUGCCUCCUGGACCUGAACGCCCUGAAACCACAGGACUCUGCCGUGUAUCUCUGCGCCAGCAAUCUUCACAUCCUGCCAUAUCAGCCAUAG